rnacentral:rRNA from 1 species
AUACGUAGGGGGCGAGCGUUGUCCGGAAUGAUUGGGCGUAAAGGGCGCGUAGGCGGCCCGGUAAGUCUGGAGUGAAAGUCCUGUUUUUAAGAUGGGAAUUGCUUUGGAUACUGUCGGGCUUGAGUGCAGGAGAGGUAAGUGGAAUUCCCAGUGUAGCGGUGAAAUGCGUAGAGAUUGGGAGGAACACCAGUGGCGAAGGCGACUUACUGGACUGUAACUGACGCUGAGGCGCGAAAGUGUGGGGAGCAAACAGGAUUAGAUACCCUGGUAGGCCACACUGUAAACGAUGAAUGCUAGGUGUAGGGGGUAUCGACCCCUUCUGUGCCGCAGUCAACACAAUAGGCAUUCCGCCUGGGGAGUACGGCCGCAAGGUUGAAACUCAAAUGAAUUGACGGGG